rnacentral:rRNA from 1 species
CCUACGGGAGGCAGCAGUAAGGAAUAUUGGUCAAUGGACGCAAGUCUGAACCAGCCAUGCCGCGUGGAGGAUGAAGGUCCUCUGGAUUGUAAACUUCUUUUAUUUGGGAAGAAACUCCCGAUUUCCAUCGGGAUUGACGGUACCAGAUGAAUAAGCACCGGCUAACUCCGUGCCAGCAGCCGCGGUAAUCCGGAGGGUGCAAGCUUUAUCCGGAUACAGGGGGUUUAGAGGGGCAGGUGGUGGGCAGGUGAAAUCUCCGGGCUUAAACCGGAAACUGCCAUUGAUACUAUUUGUCUUGAAUACUCUGGAGGUGAGCGGAAUAUGUCAUGUAGCGGUGAAAUGCUUAGAUAUGACAUAGAACACCCAUUGCGAAGGCAGCUCACUACGGAAAUAUUGACGCUGAGGCACGAAAGCGUGGGGAUCAAACAGGAUUAGAUACCCCUGUAGUC